UCUCUCAAAUGAUGGGUGUGAAGGGGCCUCAUUGACAAUGAGACACCAGCAAAGAUGAGGGAUGAAGAGAGCUGCUAUAAUUUUUUCUUCUUUCCCUUUUUUUUUUUUUUUUUUUUUGCUGUUGUGCCAGAUUUAUUGAAAAUAAUACAGCACUGCAGAAAAAAUUCAAACAGGUCCCCGAGGCAUUUUGAAGUUCAUCCCAACUGUAGGCUGAGACCUCAGGAACAUAAUUGUCUCUCCUUUCUCUCUCCUCCUCCUGCAGCUUGAUGGAGAUACCUCUUACUGGGCCUCUCUGAAUCCAUUUCAUCAGAUGCGUGACAUAGCCUGCUAUCUUGUUGCGGAGCUUCUUGCUGGGGAUAAUGGCGAUCUCCUUGCACACGCGCUUGUUCGUGUGGAAGUCGUUGCCCAGGCGUGUGUAGUACUUUUCUAUGAUGACCCGGGCCGCCUUCUUCACGGUUUUGGUGCAAACGCGGCACAUGUUGGCGGGUCCUUGGUAAAAGAGCUCUUUCCCUUUUUCUCAUUGGGAGUUCAGUUGUGGAAAGCCCAGAGAAGCAGGCUAUCGAUUAGCAUACAGUCACGUGUCACUUAACAACAGGAUAUGUUCUGAGAAAUGCGUCAUAGGAAGUUUCACCCUUGUGGGAACAUCACAGAGUGUCUUUACACAAACUAGAUGGGAUAGCCUACACACCUAGGCUGUAUGGUAUAGCCUGUUGCUCCUGGGCUACAAACCUGUACAGCAGGUUACUGUAGUGAAUACUGUAGGCAACUGUAACACAAUGGUAAUGAUUUGUGUAUGUAAACCCAGAAAAGUUACAGUAAAAAUACAGUAUAAAAGAAAAUAAAUGGAGCCAGGAGCAGUGGCUCAUGCCUGCAAUCCCAACAGUUUGGGAGGCCAAGGUGGGAGGCUUGUUUGAGCCCAGGAGUUUAAGACUAGCCUGGGCAACAUGGUGAAACCCCAUCUCUGAGAAAGAAAAAGAAAGAAAGAAAGAGAGAGAGAGAAAGAGAGAGAGAGAAAGAAAGAAAGGAAAGAAAGAAGAAAGAAAGAGAAAGAGAAAGAAAGAAAAAGAAAAGGAGGGAAGGAAGG
rnacentral:lncRNA from 1 species